AUUGAACGCUGGCGGCAGGCCUAACACAUGCAAGUCGAACGAGUGGCGGACGGGUGAGUAAUGUCGGGGAAAAUGCAUGAUGGAGGGGGAUAACGACUGGAAAAGGUAGCUAAUACCGCAAACCAUCAGAUAGGCCCAGAUGGGAUUAGCUUGUUGGGGGGGUAACGGCUCACCAAGGAGACGAGCCAUAGCUGGUCUGAGAGGAUGACCAGCCACACUGGAACUGCGACCCGGUCCAGACUCCUACGGGAGGCAGCAGUGGAGAAUAUUGCACCAUGGGCGCAAGCCUGCUGCAUCCAUGCCGCGUGUAUGAAGAAGGCCUUCGGGUUGUAAAGUACGUUCAGCGGGGAGGCGUUACCCGCAGAAGAAGCACCGGCUAACUCCGUGCCAGCAGCCGCGGUAAUAC
rnacentral:rRNA from 1 species